GUCUUUGUAUUCACACACACACACACACAUACACACACACACACACACACAUACACACACACACACACACACACACACACACACACACACACACACACACACACACACACACACACACACACACACACACACACACACACGCACGCUAAUCACAUUUGUCCUCCUGCAGGAACAUUACACGUGAAAUCCGAGGAGUGGUGGGAGGGUCGGCCACGCCCUUACUUCGCACACUCGCCCACAAACGUCACCGUCAUCUCGGGCCAGACGUCUUUCCUGCCCUGCCGCGUCCACAUGCUUGGUGACCGAUCGGUGAUGUGGAUGCGGGGACGAGAUCUUCACAUCCUGACGGUGGGGAAAGUCACGUAUUCAGCCGACGAGAGGUUCCAGAUCAUGCACAGCCACGAGACGGAUGACUGGACGCUGCAGAUCCAGUACACGCAGCCCAGGGACGCAGGAGCCUACAAGUGCCAGGUCAACUCAGACCCCAAGAUUGUGCGGAACGUAUAUCUCACUGUCACAGACAAGCGUUUCCUGGAUGGACAGCUGUACAAGAUGCCGCCCUCCACACGGGAGCAAGGUGAGUACGGGACGCACAUCGUGGGCGGUGGCACCAGGUUCCUGCAGGCGGGCUCGUCGCUGGCACUGGAGUGUGUGGUGACUCACACUCGUGCCCCGCCCUCUGCCGUCCUCUGGUACCGCGACAACAACUUGCUGGACUACGACUCACCAAGGGGCGGCAUCUCCCUACAGGUGGAGAAGGCGGGGCAGCAGACCACCUCCAGGCUGCUUCUCUCUGCGGUGCGGGAGACAGAUUCAGGAAACUACACGUGCGUGCCCGUCAGUGUUCCCGUCAGCGCGCCUACAGCCUCCGUCACCGUCCACGUCAGCACAGAGGACGAGUUGCGGGCGGCCGUGCAGCAAGGCGGGCUGAGCGGGGCGCGGUGUUCACUCUCUGGCCUUGACUUGCGAGCUGUCUUCCUGCUAGUGGCCGUGGCGUGGCUGGUGGCGGGGACCCUCACCUAGCAGCCCGGACCACGUUGAGGAUCAGCGGUGCCUGUCUCUCGCUGCCCUUCGGGUCUCUGGCAGCAUCGGACGGGACCUGGACCGUGGUUGCGUCCAUGCUGUGGUUUGUUUUGUGCUGCUGGCUUCAUUUCCUGCUCGGGUGAUUCGACUCUUCUCUUUAUAUGUAAUUCAACAGUGGCUAUUUUACACAAAUUUUCUCCGACACGUUAUUUUCAUUUUUAUUUUUUAAAUCAUGUUUUUCAAGUAUUAUGUGUAUCUGUUGCGUACUCGUAGUUCCAAUAUUUUUUACGCUGGUGGUCAAUGUUUAGAAUAGGAUUUUUCUUUAUUAUCUUGUGCAUCUAACACACACACACACACACACUGGUAUACACUCAACGAUAAUUACCCUAAUUUAAACAGACAUGCAGGUGCUUACGUGGUAUGUUUUCCAACUUAAUCGUGGGUGAGCAAUGCAGGGAAACGUCUCCGAAAUCGAAUUCUUACCAAAAACAAAACAAAAUGUUCUUCAUUUCGAGAACUUUAAGGCACAGGCCAGUGCGAUAUGUUUCUAAGUUGAGAGAGAGAGAGAGAGAGAGAGAGAGAGAGAGAGAGAGAGAGAGAGAGAGAGAGAGAGACGCUUCUGAUACAUACAUACUGUGGCGGAGUGGGCAUGCUUUAAGGCUUAGUUACCUAUCCUCUUAAUGUGUUUAUGUUACGUGAGAAGUCUUUACACCAGCAAGGUAUUUCACUUCUGUCAUUUUUUUCAUAACAACGAUACAAAAAAUGGGAGUAUUUGCGUUCUGUCAUCUGUGUAUUACUAAUACUCUCCCAAAAGAGGAGUUAAGAAUACUAGCAGUGUAAAGGAAGAAGCCCGUAGCCCGCACAUCCACACCGUUACGGAAAUAACAAGAAGCUUCAUUAUUUAUGGGUAUUUGUAGCCAACCUCAGAAAUAUCUGGGCAUUCGUAAGCACCGGAACACUUUUGCUCUUCAGUUAUGCUGAUGCCAACUGAGCACCAACAAGGCUGGAAGAAUAUGAAAGAAUCGUACUAAACCAGUAUAAUUUAUGUAAUAUGUACAUGUGUUUGUGGAGAUGUGCGUACUUUGAUAAUUAUCCUACUUCGCAGUAACUGAGGUGAUCAUUGCCAAGGGAGGGAUACUGUUAUAUGCAGUUUCUCUAGGAAGGACCAUCAAAGAACAACAAAGGAUAAGACCAAUGAUUGAGCACUGGAGCGCGAUAAAUAAGGUUUAAGAAAAAUAUUAAUGAUUCAACUGGUUCAGUGUCAAGAUGUUGGCCCUUGGCUGUAAACUAUCAUCACUGUUUUGGCCAUACUGUGAAUGCCAGACGGCCUCGCCUAUCACACACUAUCACCGCCGAUAAAACAAGGAAUUUUCUUACUGAACAGAAUAAAAAUAAAUAAAUAAAUAAAUAAAUAAAUAUAACAUCAAAAUAGUGAAAACACGAGUUAUAACUCUCUCGCCUCACAAUGUUUUCAACCCAGGCAGCGAGACAGUCCACAGCAGCAGAAAGCUUUAGAACACUGACACUCUUGAAUGAAUAUCUGGUAUCUAUUACUUGAAAAGAGUUCAUUUCAUUUCUCUUUAAGGCCAUAUUACAAUUUCCAACCGUGUGUGUGCCUGUGUGUGUGAUGUGAGAUGUACAUAUUUGCUUGCUUCAUUUAUUUAUUUGUAUUUAUUGAUUCAUUGAUUAUUUUUUUCUUAUUUGUACAUGUAUUUUGCAUUGACAGCCAGAGCAAAUAGUGGAGAGAAGGACGGAAAGUUUCCCGCCGCUACACACCUUCACCUGAGACCUGAUGAAACACCUGCUUUUGUUCUAGAUUCACAGGUAUCUAUUUCUUUCGUCAGGUGGCGCCGGUAAUUAUCUUUAUCCCUUUUGUUUGUUUAUCUAUUUUUUCUUAUAUAUAUUUGUGUGAAUAAUGGCUUUCAUAGGAGUUACGAAAGUUACUGGAAAAUGAAAAAGAAUAUUGUGGGGUGUGUGUGUGUGUGUGUGUGUGAGAGAGAGAGAGAGAGAGAGAGAGAGAGAGAGAGAGAGAGAGAGAGAGAGAGAGAGAGAGAGAGAGAGAGAGAGAGAGAGAUGGGGGGAGGAUGGAAAAUGUGUGUGUGUGUGUGUGUCAAGACAAAUAAACCGGAAGACGUCACCCUCAUAAACCACAAUAAACCACACAGCUAAAGCCGCCACCAGGUGUAACUUCAUGUGUGCGCUCGGCAAGACAGGACACAUCUCAGCCUCUCUCUGUCACGCUGCACUUCUCAUCUUCACCGCAAACUUCCCGCCUGGUGUGUGUGUGCGGGGGCUGGCUCACCUGCGGCCCUCCACACACAGACACGGCGCCUCUCCAGGACGCUCACAGCCACUCAUCAAGCAACACAUCAGUAACGCAAAUGUCCAUGUCUCAUUCAUCCAUAUAAAUAUUUUUUGUAUAUAUAUAUUGACUUUAAUAUAGAUGUAUAAUUGUAUAAUGUAUAUGUGCGAGAAUAUGUAUGUAUUGCGCAUUAUGCAUACAUACAUAACGUGCUUUUUUGUGUACAUGUACUUACGUAUACAUUUCAGGAGAAUGUUCUUUAAUUAUGUAUAGGCCUUGGCGUAUGGCUGUAUCUUUCUUUCUAAGUGAAGAAAAUAUAGACUUCUUGAAAUUAGAAUAAUGGAGGUCAUUACAAUCCUGCAUUCAUUUCGGUGAUAAACAAGAGAAGAAAAUAAUGAGCGCGUUUCCUCGGUUAAAAAUUAAAAGGAAAACAAAAUACUUCAGUUGUACACUCGCACCUAGAAUGUACUAGAGGGAGUAUUAUACAUACAUUCAGGAACAGUGACGUAGCUCUGACUGGAGUGUGUGUGUGUGCCCGACGACGGUUUGAUCGCUAACAGACCAGCCAGAAUGAAACGACAAAGGAAGCCACGCCACAGGUAUCUCCUCCUCCUCUUGCUCCUGCUCAUGCCUUUGUUCUGACUUAUUUCUGUUACUGUAUGUUGGAUACAUAGACUACAAACAGCCCGGUGAGGACCAAAACGUUUGCUGCUAUUUGUUCUUGAUGUUCUUUUUUUUUAUUGUCUUCAGUUCUCCUCCCCCUCCUCCUCCUGCUCUCUUUUUACGCUUCCGUAAUUCACAUAUGGCUUUUAAUUAAUUUAUGGCAAUCAUGCCGAUACGGAACAACCAUCAUAGCGUGAGAGAGAGAGAGAGAGAGAGAGAGA